rnacentral:rRNA from 1 species
UGCCAGCAGCCGCGGUAAUACGGAGGGUGCAAGCGUUAUCCGGAUUCACUGGGUUUAAAGGGUGCGUAGGCGGGCGAUUAAGUCUGUGGUGAAAUCUCUGAGCUUAACUCGGAAACUGCCAUGGAUACUAUUUGUCUUGAAUGUUGUGGAGGUGAGCGGAAUAUGUCAUGUAGCGGUGAAAUGCUUAGAUAUGACAUAGAACACCAAUUGCGAAGGCAGCUCACUACACAAAUAUUGACGCUGAGGCACGAAAGCGUGGGGAUCAAACAGGAUUAGAUACCCUGGUAGUCCACGCCCUAAACGAUGGAUACUCGACAUACGCGAUACACAGUGUGUGUCUGAGCGAAAGCAUUAAGUAUCCCACCUGGGAAGUACGACCGCAAGGUUGAAACUCAAAUGAAUUGGCGG